UCAAGAAACUUCCACAAUGGGCGAAAGCCUGAUGGAGCGACGUCGCGUGAUGGACGAAGUGCUUCGGCACGUAAACAUCUUUUAUGUGGGAUGAAAUUAUUGACAGUACCACAUGAAUAAGGGGCUCCUAACUCUGUGCCAGCAGGAGCGGUAAUACAGAGGCCCCAAGCGUUAUCCGGAAUCACUGGGCGUAAAGGGUGUCGAGGCGGUUGUAUUAGUCGUUCGUAAAAUCUACGAGCUUAACUUGUAGGCGGCGAACGAAACGGUACGACUUGAGGUUUGGAGAGGUGCGUGGAACUCACGGUGUGGGGGUGAAAUCCGUUGAUAUCGUGGGGAACACCAAAGGCGAAGGCAGCGCACUGGCCAAAAUCUGACGCUCACACACGAAAGCUAGGGUAGCGAAGAGGAUUAGAUACCCACGUAGUCCCUGAGCGGGCUGGCAAGGCGCAU
rnacentral:rRNA from 1 species